ACCAGACUCCUACGGGAGGCAGCAGUGGGGGAUAUUGCACAAUGGGGGGAACCCUGAUGCAGCGACGCCGCGUGGGUGAAGAAGCGCCUCGGCGCGUAAAGCCCUGUCAGCAGGGAAGAAAAUGACGGUACCUGAAGAAGAAGCCCCGGCUAACUACGUGCCAGCAGCCGCGGUAAUACGUAGGGGGCAAGCGUUAUCCGGAUUUACUGGGUGUAAAGGGGGCGCAGACGGCGAUGCAAGCCAGGAGUGAAAGCCCGGGGCCCAACCCCGGGACUGCUCUUGGAACUGCGUGGCUGGAGUGCAGGAGGGGCAGGCGGAAUUCCUGGUGUAGCGGUGAAAUGCGUAGAUAUCAGGAGGAACACCGGUGGCGAAGGCGGCCUGCUGGACUGCAACUGACGUUGAGGCCCGAAAGCGUGGGGAGCAAACAGGAUUAGAUACCCGAGUACC
rnacentral:rRNA from 1 species